AGAGGUACAGUAUUUAUAUUUAGGAGUCCACCCAGGCAUACAUCAGAUCAGCCCUGUCAACAUCACGUGAAAGACAACUUGGGUACAUUUGACUGAACUUACUGAAAUUGACUUCUUACAUUGACUUUUUAAAGGUGAAAAGAGGACAGGAGAUACAAAAGAGAAGAGGAACUGAAGAAGAGAGGAAAAUUUAAGAAAAAAGAAGACUCUACACAUCUGAAGGCACUUGACAAAGGCCAGAUCCAGGAGACUAGCCAUGGAGGGGGAUUACAUGAAACCACCACCGUCUUAUGAAGAAGUUAUUACCCAGCAGCACACGAGCAACACUAGUCAGAGCCGCUCUGCUGAUAACAGGCAGGGCUGCUGCUGCAGGUGCUGUAUUAGCACCAAGAACUGUCUGAUGAGUCCAGAGUGCGGUCGAGCUCUUAGCAUCGCCAACGUGAUUGCCAUGUGUGGCAUGUGCAUCCGAAUGUUUGUCUAACACAGUCUCCUGUGGACCAUCUAUUCCAGUUCUAUCAUCCAGUGGUGGCCUUCUCAAAUUAAAAGGGAUACAAAGACAUUUGCUCUGUUCCAAAACCUAGUGAUCUGCAAAAUUCAUAAGUUCUCCCACAAUACGAAUCCCAAUGCUGCUCCAAAAACAAUGCAGCACUGCAUGUAUCAUUCAGGUAAUGCUAACUGACUCAAAUUUCACCUUUACAAUAUGUGUUUCCUUUUUGGAAGACAAUAGCAGACAACAUAGUUAAACAGUUUUACCAAGAUUUUCUUUCAUUCAAAUUGCCUAUAUUAAUAUAGAGCUUUAUACAAUACAAAAUAGAAAAGAAACAGAAUCAGUGAUGCAAACCUCAUCAGAUAUGAGGAGACCCAAAUUCAGCUGUAAAGCAGCUCUAAAAAGACAUUUCUAAAAUAGUUGCAGCAGUCAUUUGGAAAUGAAAAGUUGUAUUUUAUUGUUUUCAUAAAUUGGAGCCAGUCAUGUUAUUAGAUGUGGCAUCCGCCUUAAUUAUUUAUCAGGGUAUCAAAACUUUGCAGUUAUCAUUAACAUUUCUUCUAAACCUUCUUGUGUGAAAAUGUAAUUUAUGAUACAGAAUUAUUUUUUAAAUGAUGUGCACUAGACCGACAGGUCAAUAAAUCACCAUGCUAGAUUAUUUUCCCAAUUGUGGUGGAUUGUUUUCCUUUAAGACUGUAAAAUAUUAAACCUGUAGACUGAGAUUGUGUAAAUAUGGAUCUUCUACACUGUGGAAUAUAAAGCCAUCUGUCUUAUAGCCAGUACACACACACAAAAAUAAAAAUAAAAUCCUUUACAUUAA